rnacentral:rRNA from 1 species
AUGAACGCUAGCUACAGGCUUAACACAUGCAAGUCGAGGGGCAGCAUGGUCUUAGCUUGCUAAGGCCGAUGGCGACCGGCGCACGGGUGAGUAACACGUAUCCAACCUGCCGUCUACUCUUGGACAGCCUUCUGAAAGGAAGAUUAAUACAAGAUGGCAUCAUGAGUCCACAUGUUCACAUGAUUAAAGGUAUUCCGGUAGACGAUGGGGAUGCGUUCCAUUAGAUAGUAGGCGGGGUAACGGCCCACCUAGUCUUCGAUGGGUAGGGGUUCUGAGAGGAAGGUCCCCCACAUUGGAACUGAGACACGGUCCAAACUCCUACGGGAGGCAGCAGUGAGGAAUAUUGGUCAAUGGGCGAGAGCCUGAACCAGCCAAGUAGCGUGAAGGAUGACUGCCCUAUGGGUUGUAAACUUCUUUUAUAAAGGAAUAAAGUCGGGUAUGGAUACCCGUUUGCAUGUACUUUAUGAAUAAGGAUCGGCUAACUCCGUGCCAGCAGCCGCGGUAAUACGGAGGAUCCGAGCGUUAUCCGGAUUUAUUGGGUUUAAAGGGAGCGUAGAUGGAUGUUUAAGUCAGUUGUGAAAGUUUGCGGCUCAACCGUAAAAUUGCAGUUGAUACUGGAUAUCUUGAGUGCAGUUGAGGCAGGCGGAAUUCGUGGUGUAGCGGUGAAAUGCUUAGAUAUCACGAAGAACUCCGAUUGCGAAGGCAGCCUGCUAAGCUGCAACUGACAUUGAGGCUCGAAAGUGUGGGUAUCAAACAGGAUUAGAUACCCUGGUAGUCCACGCCGUAAACGAUGAGUACUAAGUGUUGGGGUUUCCCAGUGCUGAAGUUAACAUAUUAAGUACUCCGCCUGAGUAGUACGGUCGCAAGGCUGAAACUCAAAGGAAUUGACGGGCACCCGCACAAGCGGUGGAGCAUGCUGUUUAAUUCGAAGAUACGCGAAGAACCUUACCUAGACUUGACAUCCCGGUGACCGCUCUGGAAACAGAGUUUUCCCUUCGGGGACACCGGUGACAGGUGGUGCAUGGUUGUCGUCAGCUCGUGUCGUGAGAUGUUGGGUUAAGUCCCGCAACGAGCGCAACCCUUAAGCUUAGUUGCCAUCAUUAAGUUGGGCACUCUAAGUUGACUGCCGGUGACAAACCGGAGGAAGGUGGGGAUGACGUCAAAUCAGCACGGCCCUUACGUCCGGGGCUACACACGUGUUACAAUGGGGGGUACAGAGGGCCGCUACCACGCGAGUGGAUGCCAAUCCCCAAAACCUCUCUCAGUUCGGACUGGAGUCUGCAACCCGACUCCACGAAGCUGGAUUCGCUAGUAAUCGCGCAUCAGCCACGGCGCGGUGAAUACGUUCCCGGGCCUUGUACACACCGCCCGUCACACCACGAGAGUUUGUAACACCCGAAGCCGGUGGAGUAACCUUUUAGGAGCUAGCCGUCGAAGGUGGGACAAAUGAUUGGGGUG